rnacentral:rRNA from 1 species
AGUGAACGCUGGCGGUAGGCCUAACACAUGCAAGUCGAACGGCAGCACAGUAAGAGCUUGCUCUUACGGGUGGCGAGUGGCGGACGGGUGAGGAAUACAUCAGAAUCUACUUUUUCGUGGGGGAUAACGUAGGGAAACUUACGCUAAUACCGCAUACGACCUACGGGUGAAAGCAGGGGAUCUUCGGACCUUGCGCGAUUGAAUGAGCCGAUGUCGGAUUAGCUAGUUGGCGGGGUAAAGGCCCACCAAGGCGACGAUCCGUAGCUGGUCUGAGAGGAUGAUCAGCCACACUGGAACUGAGACACGGUCCAGACUCCUACGGGAGGCAGCAGUGGGGAAUAUUGGACAAUGGGCGCAAGCCUGAUCCAGCCAUACCGCGUGGGUGAAGAAGGCCUUCGGGUUGUAAAGCCCUUUUGUUGGGAAAGAAAAGCAGCAGGUUAAUACCCCGCUGUUCUGACGGUACCCAAAGAAUAAGCACCGGCUAACUUUGUG